rnacentral:rRNA from 1 species
CCGCACGCGCGCUACACUGACCCACUCAGCAAGUCAUUCCUGGCCUGGAAAGGUUCGGGUAAUCUUCGCAAUAUGGGUCGUGUUAGGGAUCGAUCUUUGCAAUUAUAGAUCUUGAACGAGGAAUACCUAGUAAGUGCAAGUCAUCAGCUUGUACUGAUUACGUC